rfam:Myotis davidii contig157396, whole genome shotgun sequence.
GGCAGUUCUCAGGUGACACACCCUGAAAUCAGGCUCCCUCCUCUCUGGUUCCUGGUGCAUCUCCCAAGAACUGCC